UAAAGACAAGGAAAGAUGAGGGUAGAGCAGAGGAAGAUAAGAAGAAGAGUAGGGAAGCAGGUCACGGAGAGAAUUCAAGUUUAGAAGCUACAUAUUGGUAUAAAAAUCUAAUUCUGUAAUGGGUGUGUCGCCUCGUGUCUGUGCUGUUUGGAGAAGAGGAAAAGAAGCCAAGCUGUGGUGAUGAAAAACUCAUAAAAAUUACAGAAUGGAACCUCAGAGAUCAUCCAUGGGCAGGGAUGUCACCCACUAGAUCAGCUUGCUCAAGACCCCAGUGUAUUGUGUGACAGAAGUAUUGAUUCCUUCUGGGAUGCAUCUAUUCGGCUCUUAUUUUGGAAAGUAAAAACUAUGGUAAGGUGAAAGUAUGGUUUAACUCAUUAAAAAUGCUUGGGGUUUUAUUUUAAUUCAUGUUCAAUAUAUAGAAGAAGGGGCUAAAUGCAGUUCUUUGGGGUAGGAUUAUCUCUCUAAACUCUUUGCUUGUGAUGGAAU
rnacentral:lncRNA from 1 species